rnacentral:rRNA from 1 species
CUCCUACGGGAGGCAGCAGUCGAGAAUCAUUCACAAUGGGCGAAAGCCUGAUGGUGCGACGCCGCGUGGGGGAGGAAGGUCUUCGGAUUGUAAACCCCUGUCAUGUGGGAGCAAGACUUCGGUUUGAUAGUACCACAAGAGGAAGAGACGGCAAACUCUGUGCCAGCAGCCGCGGUAAUA